AAACUAGGGAGUGCUUUCCAUCUGGAAGAAUCUGGAGACAGGUGCUGCAUGGCUGUCGUCAGCUCGUGUCGUGAGAUGUUGGGUUAAGUCCCGCAACGAGCGCAACCCUUGCCUUUAGUUGCCAGCAGUUCGGCUGGGCACUCUAAAGGGACUGCCGGUGUUAAACCGGAGGAAGGUGGGGAUGACGUCAAGUCCUCAUGGCCUUUAUGACCAGGGCUACACACGUACUACAAUGGCCGAUACAAAGGGCAGCGACACUGCGAGGUGAAGCCAAUCCCGUAAAAUCGGUCUCAGUCCGGAUUGGAGUCUGCAACUCGACUCCAUGAAGUUGGAUUCGCUAGUAAUCGCGCAUCAGCCAUGGCGCGGUGAAUACGUUCCCGGGCCUU
rnacentral:rRNA from 1 species